rnacentral:rRNA from 1 species
GCUUACGACCACACCGGCCUGAGUAAGCCUGAUCUCGUCUGAUCUCGGAAGCUAAGCAGGGUCGGGCCUGGUUAGUACUUGGAUGGGGAGACUGCCUGGGAAUACCAGGUGCUGUAAGCU